UGGCUCAGAUUGAACGCUGGCGGCAGGCUUAACACAUGCAAGUCGAACGGUAACAUAAAGAAGCUUGCUUCUUUGAUGACGAGUGGCGGACGGGUGAGUAAUGCUUGGGAAUCUAGCUUAUGGAGGGGGAUAACUACGGGAAACUGUAGCUAAUACCGCGUAGAAUCGAGAGAUGAAAGUGUGGGACCUUCGGGCCACAUGCCAUAGGAUGAGCCCAAGUGGGAUUAGGUAGUUGGUGAGGUAAAGGCUCACCAAGCCGACGAUCUCUAGCUGGUCUGAGAGGAUGACCAGCCACACUGGGACUGAGACACGGCCCAGACUCCUACGGGAGGCAGCAGUGGGGAAUAUUGCGCAAUGGGGGCAACCCUGACGCAGCCAUGCCGCGUGAAUGAAGAAGGCCUUCGGGUUGUAAAGUUCUUUCGGUAGUGAGGAAGGCAUUUAGUUUAAUAGACUAGGUGAUUGACGUUAACUACAGAAGAAGCACCGGCUAACUCCGUGCCAGCAGCCGCGGUAAUACGGAGGGUGCGAGCGUUAAUCGGAAUUACUGGGCGUAAAGCGAGCGCAGACGGUUACUUAAGCAGGAUGUGAAAUCCCCGGGCUCAACCUGGGAACUGCGUUCUGAACUGGGUGACUAGAGUGUGUCAGAGGGAGGUAGAAUUCCACGUGUAGCAGUGAAAUGCGUAGAGAUGUGGAGGAAUACCGAUGGCGAAUGCAGCCUCCUGGGAUAACACUGACGUUUCAUGCUCGAAAGCGUGGGUAGCAAAACAGAUUAGAUACCCU
rnacentral:rRNA from 1 species